rnacentral:rRNA from 1 species
GAACGGGUGAGUACACGUGGGUGAUCUGCCCUGCACUUUGGGAUAAGCCUGGGAAACUGGGUCUAAUACCGAAUAGGACCACGCGCUUCAUGGUGUGUGGUGGAAAGCUUUUGCGGUGUGGGAUGGGCCCGCGNCNNNUCAGCUUGUUGGUGGGUAAUGGCCUACCAAGGCGACGACGGGUAGCCGGCCUGAGAGGGUGACCGGCCACACUGGGACUGAGAUACGGCCCAGACUCCUACGGGAGGCAGCAGUGGGGAAUAUUGCACAAUGGGCGCAAGCCUGAUGCAGCGACGCCGCGUGAGGGGUGACGGCCUUCGGGUUGUAAACCUCUUUCAAUAGGGACGAAGCGCAAGUGACGGUACCUAUAGAAGAAGCACCGGCCAACUACGUGCCAGCAGCCGCGGUAAUACGUAGGGUGCGAGCGUUGUCCGGAAUUACUGGGCGUAAAGAGCUCGUAGGUGGUUUGUCGCGUUGUUCGUGAAAACUCACAGCUUAACUGUGGGCGUGCGGGCGAUACGGGCAGACUAGAGUACUGCAGGGGAGACUGGAAUUCCUGGUGUAGCGGUGGAAUGCGCAGAUAUCAGGAGGAACACCGGUGGCGAAGGCGGGUCUCUGGGCAGUAACUGACGCUGAGGAGCGAAAGCGUGGGGAGCGAACAGGAUUAGAUACCCUGGUAGUCCACGCCGUAAACGGUGGGUACUAGGUGUGGGUUCCUUCCUUGGGAUCCGUGCCGUAGCUAACGCAUUAAGUACCCCGCCUGGGGAGUACGGCCGCAAGGCUAAAACUCAAAGGAAUUG